UACAGAGGGUGCGAGCGUUGUUCGGAAUUACUGGGCGUAAAGCGCGCGCAGGCGGCCUUUUAAGUCUGCUGGUGAAAUGCCGGGGCUCAACCCCGUGCCCGCCACAGAUACUGGGAGGCUGGAGACGAGUAGAGGCAAGCGGAAUUCCGGGUGUAGCGGUGGAAUGCGUAGAGAUCCGGAAGAACACCAGUGGCGAAGGCGGCUCACUGGCCCGAUACUGACGCUGAGGUGCGAAAGCGUGGGGAGCAAACAGG
rnacentral:rRNA from 1 species